GUUCAUGGGCAGAUAAUACUUAAGACCAGCAAGUUUGAUAUAUAUACUUCUUUUACUAUAUAUCUUUGUGUUACGGAGUGUGAAGAACAAUGGCAUCAAUGAAGGCAGACAAACCAGUUGGGACUCAACUCUUUGGGCAGGCCAAGAAGGAGCCUGCAGUCAAGAGCAGUGAUGGUGCAUCCAAGGGUCCUGCAUCAAAGGCAGCCCCGAAGAAGGCUGCCCCAAAGACCACUCCUGAACCUAAGAAGAAGGCAAAGGGUGGUAAAUCAGCAGCGAAGCAUUAACAUAAUGCCCAAAGAUAAAUUGCAUUGUAUUUGCAUAAAAUUAAGGAGCCAUAUAUGUUAAUUAAGUUCUUCAUAUAGACCUAAAUCCUUAAUUUUGCUUUCGUUGUUUUUAUUAGUCGUUGUGACCAUAUGUAAGUUGUCUCGUUUGGCUUGGCCUAAGAAAUAAACAUAUAUAUAUAUUUGAGAACUAUCUCUUGUAUCAUGUUAUACAUAUCAAUAUAUUUUUUGAGUGUAAGUUUUA